ACAUAGUUAUCAUUCUAACAUAAUUCAUAUAAUUUUCCAUAAAUAAUUCUCUCGGCGCCCUAAGCACGAAACACACAUUCAGCGUAACUUCAAGCGCAAAGGCAGCGACUGCCUCUGGGACAUGUUCAGUGAUAUUCAGAAAUCUCGGCAGUGUCUCUUGCGGCUCGGAGAGGAUGUUUUUUCCGCACUGCUCGAGACUUGAGAUUCUCCAUAAUACAAAAAGAAAAGGGAGCAAGCGAAGCAAAACCAGCUCUAGCACCGCAGAUUGAUGAGAGUCUUCAAGCACUAGUGGGGUGCUCCCAUAAUGCAAGGGGGGCUGAUUGAAGAGUUGAGACGAGAGCCCUUCGUUGUUGAUGUACACGAGUGCACCCAUAGGAGGCAGUCAGACCAAUCAUGGAUUGAUAACAAAUCCCGGGCGACUUGGGAGAAAUUCCAACAGUGGAAGGGGAGCCAAUCCUAAACGUUGGGUAGUAUUACGAUCUGAGAUCGAAAUCCGUCCUAAUAUGACUCGUGUAGAGAGGUUGCUAGAGGGAAGAAGAAGGGUCGAGUCUGUGGGCUUAGGUCUCGGGAAUUUGCCUAUGAAACUUACUCCUCAACCAGUGCAUCCACAACAUCUACUUCUACCGCACAGGAGGAGGAGGUUUCUAAGCGUAUUGCUACAUUCGCUGCCAAGAUGGAGAUCCACUUCUAGUAGAUGAGGUUAGAGCUGGAGGCCAAUAUGGAGGUUAUUUUGAAGUGAAGCUAGAUGCAUUUUGGCAGUGGCCAAAACAGUGGAGGAAGCAACCAGUAGAUAAGGAGGACACUGAUAAUGAGGAGACUAAAGAGGAUUAGCGGAGACUUUUUUCAUUUUAUUUGUAUAUUAUUUUGUUAAACA